AGGUGUUUGCAGGCCCUUAAUAAAAUUAAGUAUGAAUUCUAUCAUUUACAAAGCAAAUUCAAGACUGUUAUUCAGUUGGAGAAAAGAAUCCUUGCUUAUGAUACCAAACAACAGUGACGACUACUAGUCUCCCUCUGAAUCCUUUUCCAGUUGUGACAACAAUAGUUUGUAUAUAUAUUAUUUCUUCUUGUUUAUAUUGAAUGAAUUCUUUAUUUUUUAAGAGAAAUAUCUCUUUUUCUAGGAACCAAACUGCGUAUUCCAUUUUGGGUUAAAAAACAAACCUUUUUUUUGGUAAAGAAUCUUUACAACAUGGAGUAUUAUUCGGGUUAGAAACUAUUGUCAAAUUUCUUGCAA